UACAGAGGGUGCGAGCGUUAAUCGGAAUUACUGGGCGUAAAGCGCGCGUAGGCGGCUUUGCAAGUCGGGUGUGAAAUCCCCAGGCUUAACCUGGGAACUGCAUUCGAGACUGCAUUGCUAGAGUAUGGGAGAGGGAAGUGGAAUUCCGGGUGUAGCGGUGAAAUGCGUAGAUAUCCGGAGGAACAUCAGUGGCGAAGGCGGCUUCCUGGCCUAAGACUGACGCUGAGGUACGAAAGCGUGGGGAGCAAACAGG
rnacentral:rRNA from 1 species